rnacentral:rRNA from 1 species
CCCUUAGAUGUUCUGGGCCGCACGCGCGCUACACUGAUGCAUUCAACGAGCCUAUCCUUGACCGACAGGUCCGGGUAAUCUUUGAAACUGCAUCGUGAUGGGGCUAGAUUAUUGCAAUUAUUAAUCUUCAACGAGGAAUGCCUAGUAAGCGUGAUUCAUCAAAUCGCGUUGAUUACGUCCCUGCCCUUUGUACACACCGCCCGUCGCUCCUACCGAUUGAAUGUGUUGGUGAGGAGCUCGGAUUGGCAGCAGUUGGUGGUUCGCCACCGGCUAUUGCUGAGAAGUCCUCCAAACCGCCCCAUUUAGAGGAAGGAGAAGUCGUAACA